GCCCCAGCCCUGUAGCUGUGUUCCAGAGCCUUGAUCCCAACCAGCACGGCAUGGAGGUGGAGCUGGAGCUGGAGCCAUAGGGGGAGGGUAGCCUCAGUCUCUCCCUAGAGGCUGCCUUUCCCCAAGCUCUUCCUAACUGCACAGCUGAAUCUGUUUGCCUGUAUUGGUGAAGAAAUUGAGUUUCAUAAAUCAUCAUGCAGUUCACGUGGACGCUAACAUCAGAUAAACUGCCUGACAACCUAGCUGUAACAAAUCAUUGCUUGUUGCUAUGCUGCUCCUCAGAGCUCGGAGAGAAAGAUUCCAUGGCGCAAUAACAACCGGUUAUGUGUCCCAGGGGCAGCCGAAGCCGUGGCUCAGCCUUUCAGUGCCUUUGCUCAUGUUGCCGCCUUCUUUUUAGAAAAGACCCCUCUAUCCAUCACCAAAUCCAGCUCAGCCGCCUUCUGUGGAGUCUCCGUGCUCCCCACCCCCAAGCCCCCACCCCUCAGCCGCUGCUCCUGCAGCAAAAGCAUCAUGAAUCAUCCACACCUCCCGUUGCCCUAACAGGCCUCUUCUCUUAUUGUUCUUCUAGCAUGAUUGGUUUUGUUCCUUAUUAGAUGGUGAAAAGGAAUGACCUAAAUGGAGGUGGAUGGAUGGAUGGCCUUCCCGCUCCUGUACCUCAGUGGUGUAAUAUAUCUACUCACCCAAGAUUUGAAUUUCAAACGUGGACAACAAGAGGCCGAAUUUCUACACUAAAGAAGGUUGUUAAAAUUCACAGAGCAGAGAAGCUCUUUAAUAGACAAGAUUCAUGAUGGUCUUUUCACAGGGAAGCAGAAGAUUUAUUACAAGCAUGGGUUCUAAUGUAUGUUGUGCCUGAUGCCCCCCUCCCUAGGACAGAGAGGAGGAGAGACACCAAGGGCAUUCAGCCGGGUGCUCCCUAUACGCACUUCCCGUGUCCUUUGUUCAUGGCUGCUUGAAGCCAGGGAAGGUCAGAAUCAAGUCAUGCUGACCAUCAGCAAUUUGUUUAUGCUCUCGGAAUCUUUGCUUUUUUAAUUUUACACCUGCAGUUUGGAAGUAAUCAUGUGUUUCUUGUCUACCCUACAAGGUUUUGCUCAGAUUGAGGCAAGGGAAAGGGAGUUAUGACCUGGUGUUAAUAAAAUCUACCCUAAGCCAAGAACUACAGAGAGUUCUUUUAGAAACACUAACCUGAGUCUGUGGCUUAAGCUUUAAAACAGCCUUCUACUGCCCUUACAAAAGUCCACAAUCUUCAGCAUGGCUGCAGGUCCCAGGAUGCUCUGGCCCUACUUGUCUGCCAGCCUCAACCUGUUCCAUGUCCUUGGCACUCCAGCUGCACUCCUUUUCAGUUCCCUUAAAAUACCAUACUCUUCCUGAAGUUCCAGGUCUUUAAACAUACUGUUCCCCUGCCCAGAAGAUUCUUGCUCCUCAUCUUCACUUGGUUAACUCUCAUCCUCCUUCUAGGAUUCAG
ensembl:lncRNA